CUCUGAUGCCGACUCUGAUUAAAUCACAAGCUCUGGUGGCAGGUCCACGUAUUUUUAAUUUGCCAGGUGAUUCUGGUGUGCAGCCAAGGUUAAGAAUCCCUGAUCUUAGCUCACACCUAUAAUCCCAGCACUUUGGGAGGCCAAGGCAGGCAGAUCACCUGAGGUCAGGAGUUCAAGAUCAGCCUGGCCAACAUGGUGAAACCCCAUCUCUACUAAAAAUACAAAAAUUAGCCGGGUGUGGUGGUGGGCACCUGUAAUCCCAGCUACUCAGGGGGCUGAGACAGGAGAAUGGCUUGAACCUGGGAGGUGGAGGUUGCAGUGAGCCAAGAUCUCACCACUGCACUCCAGCCUGGGUGACAGAGUGAGACUCCAUCUCAAAUAAACAAACAAAAAACCACUGUUCUGGAGAGAGGAUUUUAAAGCAUCUGUUUCCAACCCGGGCUUGCUCUCAGAGUUUAUUCCUUGAGGACAAUUUCUAAGCAAGGAUAUCACUGUUGUUUUGACCUUCAGUCCCAUUUAUAAGGGUCCAAAUUCCUUUGAGAAAAGUUCCAGAAAUCCUCCUCCCUCCCUACCCAAUCUAUGAUCCUAUGUCCUUGUGAUGCCCGUUUCCACACAGCUGAAGAACUACGGAAGGAAAAUGUAGUAAACUAGAAGAAAAAGACAAAUGCCUUCCUGUUCCCACUUCUCUAAAACCCCAUAGCUAGGAACAGAAAAAAAGGAAAAGACUUGAAAUGUUCUAGAGAUAUAACAAAAACUUUUUUUUUUUUAAAGAGGAUCCACCUGGUUCAUGAACCCUCCCUCACUGCUCUCUGCACAUCACGGCCACACAGCACCUGCAGGGAGGCUGUGGGGAGGUGUGGAGCAGGUGCAACAGGCAGCUACUCUCCUGGGGGCCACACGGCGGAGAGAGGAUUCGAUGCAGCAUGACGAUCCCUUCCUCCCAGGCAUGACCUCUUCUCAGAACACGGGAACUGACAACACUGCGAGUGGCAACUCAGCAGGUGGGCAGAGAAGCAGAAAGGGGCCCUCAGCACCACUAGGCCAGCUCUCAGAAUCAGAAGAGCAGCCUCCAGGGAGGGAGCAGGGCUACAGGGACAGCCUACGGGCAGUGGAGCUUCUGGUUUGGCACAUGGGAAAGGCUGGGGCGCAUGCGCUGAAACAUGACACCAUCAGGGAAGCCAGAAAGGACAACAUGGACAAGGCCAUCGAUCUGAACCCCCAGCCAAAAUGGGUGCUCUCGGCUUGCUCAAAAAGUGCUGCCAGCAGCGAUAGGUUGGCAAAUUAAAAGCAAACAAAUAGAGGUCACGGCCACACAAAGGCAGUAACUGCACUCACAAGGUGGCUCAGCCCAAAGAGGUCUGAAUCUGAAUAUGCCGCACUGUCCCUGCCCCGGGGGAGAAGGGGAAGGCUGGGCCCUGGGAACUAGAGAUGAUGGCAUUCCUUUCAUUCCUUCCUGAGGCGGGCCUGGAGGGCUGUGCCCUGGUGACUCCUGUCUCCUAAAGGAGGGCAGGGCCGGCUGAAGGAUCCAGGCAUUGAUGUCUAGUUCUGAGGACACCCAGGACCCGCAACUACAAGGGCCAUCUAAAACGUGGCCUGGAGGGGAUGGGGGCAGGCGGGCACAAAACUUCUGCUCAGCUCACUCCAGCUCCCCACGUGCUCAUCUGUUCCCCAGAUCUGGGGCUGCCUAGUGAGCCGUUAAACGCCUGGGUUCCGCCCAGGGCUGCCUUCCACCGGGACGCCGGGCCUGCUGUGGCUGGACCCUACAGGAGACAAGGGAAGGAGAAUUAACAUCAAAGCUGGUAAAGUAUCCUGUCAAAACCAAGUGCCAAAUCCUCUGUGGGACAGGAAGGGGCAGCUAAGACAGGUGCUUCGGGAUGCCUUGGGAAGUAUCAGAGCAGAAACAGGAGCGACUGGUUAGCAGAUGGUCAGCCAACAGAUGCCUUCCCUGGGAGACGGGGAAGCUGGGGCUGUGGAUUUCUGGCCCCGAGGGUCCCAGGUCAUUAUGCUGAACAAGAGGCACCUUCCCGGGACGAUACAGCACCCUGUGCUGGAAGGAAGCACCAUUUUCCACAGUGGAGGAGUCUCAUGACCCCUCCUGUCUUCCAGAAGGAUGGAAGGGAGCGCCCACCCCACACCCCUGGAGAAAAAUGCCCCCCAGCCUGGGGAGCCAUGGGCUCUGCUCCUCCCUCAGCUGAAGGGCCAGGAAAGGGAAGUGAAGGGGCAGGGAGAGGGAAGAUAUUUACCUUACGUGUGCUCUGAAAACAAAAAACGCGCACUAGUCCACAGUCAUUUAUCAACUGCAGUUUCCAACUGUGCCAAAGAGGGAAAGGUCUACUGGGAAGGCUAAAGAGAGCAGAGAGAGAAAGAAGAGGAGAAGCUAUUGAGCAGAAAUGGUUGUGCCUCUUGGCUCCGGGCAGCACCAUGGAGAGGGCCGGUGCCCCGGGCAGGGGAAGCUGAGGGAGAGCUGGCAGCUGCAGUGCUGGUGCUGCGCUGCCCCACAGCCUGCGGCUCAGGAUGGCAGAGAAAGCCAGGAGCACAGCAUGGAGGGCUGCACAGUGUGGGGACUGCCUUUCCCUCGGCAAUACAGUUCCAUGAAGAACUGACGUGGAGGACCUACCCAGGAUUUGAAAUAGUAGGCCAGGGGUCAGACAACUUUUUCUGUAAAGGACCAAUAUUUUUAGUUUUUGUAGGUCAUAUAGUCUCUGUCACAGCUACUCAGCUCCACUGCUGUAACUCAAAGGCAGCCAUAGCAAUCUACAAACAGAUGUGUGGGUUCUCAUAAAACUUCAUUCUCAAAAAUAGGCUGCUAGCCAGAUGUGGCCCUUGCACCACUAUUUGCCAACCCCUGCUGUAGGCAAUUUAAAAUUAUUGUGUCUUCCAAGUCUCAAAAAAGGCACUUCUCUGCUGGGCGUCUAGUGCCAAGGUCUCCAGAAACUGGUUCUCAUCUGCAUGAUUUAAGCAGUGCCCCACCAAAAUCUCCAGGUGUGCAGCGGCCCUACGCUCCUCCGGACAGUGAAGUGCCAAGCUCACGGGACAAAAUGCAGGACAACCCGAGUUCAGGCAAGAAACAGAAAGACAGCAGGCCAGCCUCACUGAAGCAACUGUCAGGACGGCCCAGUGAAGAUUAUUUAAAAAUCUCCGGGUGUGCAGUGAUGGGAAGAGCAUUAUUUUGGGAUUAGGUCUGUAUCUUCACUACAACACGUGCAGUCUGAGUAGCAGUGAGCCAGAAAAAGGCUCACAUGUGGGAGAACCAAAACCAAAAGACUCCCAUUUUUAAAACCUUGGCCUCUGAGACCCCAGUGUAAUGUGACAAUGUGAACUUCUGUAGAAGGGGCACCCCAUACAAUAAGAAACCAUCACAGUGGGUAAGCACAGAAGCCUCAACAACCCUAAAAGGUGCGGCACUAGCUACUCGUCCAGCUACUUUGGAGGCUGAGGCAGGAGGAUCACUUGAGCCCAGAGUAUGAAGCCAGCCUGGGCACCAUGGCAAGACCUUAUCUCUUAAAAAAAAGUGCAGCACCAUCCUUAGAGAGAUCUCUUUAGGAAGAGAUGCAACCCAUCCCCAGAUCCAAGACUUAAGCAGCACGACCUCACCCGCUGCCUUUUUGCCAACACCCAGAUCUGGAGCCCACAGGGGCUGAAGCAUCCACAUGGCCCAGGGUGGGAUUUCUGUCCCUUGCACCUGCAUGUGACCUCACAAUUCAGAAAGGACUAUUAGAAAAACAUGUUUGUGCUCUCGAGUGUGGGUCUGAGCAGCCACAGUGGCUCCACGGGAGGCCUACAGGAAGCAGGUCAGAGUCCCUGGGCCUUCUCUCUGGCUCUCAUUCCUGCCCUGUAGAACAGGCAGAACAGCUAGCAGCCCUCUGGCCACGGGGAGGUUAGCAGAGUUAGACAUGGAAGCUCCUAGCACAGUGCCUGGCAGAGGAAGUGCUGAUAACAGCUUGUCUUCCUCGUGGUGGGGCAGGUGGGGGUGGGAGGAGGCAAGCCUGCAGCUCCCUCCACAGCCCCACCAGCUCUUCCAGGAAUCUCAAGUUCAGGCAUAUCUCUGACCCCAACCUUAGGAACGCAAUCAGAAUUAAAGUAUCUUCUUGAAAAACAAGAACAAGAAACCCUUCACCACUCCUACCCACAGCCUACACUUCAGACUCUUUCACCUCCCUCCUUGCAGUGUGGGGAUGGGGUUCCAUAUCCCACAACCUUUAGUUCGAUUUGCAAAAUUUCUUCCAACACAAUCUUCCUGCUCGCAGUGGAGCACUGGAUGGGCCACGCUUAAAUAUUAGUAUGAACUGACCAAACUCUUCACAAAUGCCCUUCUAGUGUCUAGGAUGGUGUCUGCCAGCCACACACCCUCUAAGCCAGGGCCACUGCUGACUCAAAGUGACCUAAACUUAAUCUUAAAUGGCCAAAAGAGUGUCUGAACUAAAACUUAUUCCCACUUCCCAACAAAUCUCUGAUUAAGUCAAUCCAUUCUAAGACGUCCUUGAGAGAAAUACCGACUUACUAUACUCUACUCUAAAUACCAGUUAGUCUAUAGUUUGGUGUCAUCCAUGCUAUUAAAGACAGCAAGAAGUUCAAGUUGAAUAAUGAAUUAAAAAAAAAAAAAGCAAGAAGGGGGUUGGGCACAGUGGUUCAUGCCUGUAAUCCCAGCACUUUGGGAAGGUGAGGCAGGCGGAUCAUCUGAGGUCAGGAGUUCAAGACCAGCCUGGCCAACAUGGUGAAACCCCAUCUCUACUAAAAAUACAAAAAUUGGCCAGGCGUGGUCGUGGGCGCCUGUAUUCCCAGCUACUCAGGAGUCUGAGACAGGAGAACUGCUUGAACCCAGGAGCCGGAGGUUGCAGUGAGCCGAGAUCACACCAUUGUACUCCAGCCUGGGCAACAGAGCAACAGAGUAAGACUCCAUCUCAAAAAAAAAAAAAAUUAUUUAUAUAUAGAUAUAUAUAUAUAAAGAAGGGAAAAGGAUGGGGAGAAAAGAGAGAAAAAAGACAGAGGGUGGGGGGGCGGCGAGAGUGCAAGUCUGUGUGUGUGAGCUCACGGCCCUCAGGUCCAGACACCAUGCACGAUGUACCACUUGGCACUCACCUGCCGCUGUGGUGGUCUUCUCACCAAGGAGCCUGGUCUGGCUGCCUGGAAUAACCUGCAGGUCGGUGUUCUCAGGGGACUGUGGCAGGUUCUGGGCUCGGGUAGCCAGGAGUGCAUUGAGGUACUGCAGUCGCGUAACCUGGAGGAUGACAGCGUUACUGGGACCCAAUUGGUGAAGCGAGAUGCAGAAGGUAGGCAGGAAAGGUGACACCGUGCCCGAAGAGGACAGAGGCACAACUUUAAGCUAGUUAAGGGCAGAGAAGAGCAACUGAGUCAAGUGUUUUUAAGACCUUGCUUGGAAACUGGGUGCAAAGGUCUGUGUCCCUCAGGAUGAGUGGAAGGCCUUGUUCCGGGCAGUCUCAGACCAGCUGGUCUAGCCCCCGGUGACACAAAGUCGGCUAAAGCCAGCACCCACAAGCAGCCCAGGCAGUCACCUUGAUGAGCUGCAGAUCAGAGAGCGCCCUCACGGUGUAGUCGGGACAAUACGCAGAUGAAUGCGUGCCGUCACCUGGGUCGGGCUGCAGGUCAUGGCGGAUGGGCUGGAGCGAGGACACCGGGGACUGGUGAACUAUCAAAGGAACAAUCAGUGAUGGCAGGAGCCAUGCUGGCAGCUGGGAGCCUCCUCCCCUGGUGGGGACAACUGUACAGUUUCGAAGACCCACCCCACCAAUCACUCUGGAGAGGCAAUGUGCAUGGGAAGCUGGGAGAGAAGGACAAACACAGCCGGGAGAGGUUUUGCAGGGGUGGAGUGGGCCACAAAGUUGAGCGAUGAAGAAUGCUGCCCUCCCUCCUGGAAGCCCAGGGGCUACACCACCUUGUGGGGUGGUGGGCUCAGGUGGAAGGAGAGGUGAGGAGGGGCACUGAGAGCCCAAGUGAUGAUGGGGGACAGGCUCUGCAGCCUCCACCCUGGCCCUCAGCAUCAGCAGGGCCGUGGCUUACCCGAGGAUGGCACAGUUAGGGCCGACACUCCAUAGUACGUGAAGGCCCCAUUCUCAAACUUCAGACCCUCUUUCCCGAUCUCCACUUCAACCCUGCCCUGGGAGGAGUGGCAAGGAGAGAAACAGAUGCGGCCAGAUUACCUUUCCCGUCAGAAGACAGCGGAAGGAGAAACCCACCACCUCAAUUGUUUGGGGUGGGAGGGUGCAUAUCCGCAUGCCCCUGCUCCCCUCUUCUCCUAGACCCUUCCCUGGCCUGAGGAAGCAGGAGGGACUCCAGGCCUGGGACCCACAGCUACCUGCAGGAUGAGAAUGAAGUAAUCCACCGGCUGGCUGCGCUGGUACAGGUAGUGGUGUGUGGCCAGCCGGUUGCUCUCGUCAAACCUCACUUCCUGGUUGACACUGGGAUGCUUCAACAGGUGCAGCAGGACCUUCUCAGAGAUGCGCAGCGGGCUGAAUACAUCCACUUCUGCACGUGGUGGAAAAAAGGGACAGUGUCCACUGGGGCCUAGUGGCCAGUGGAACCACACCCAACACUGUAGGCAAUUUAAAGUUAUUGUGCCCACCAGGGAUCUCCCGGGUGGCCUGUGAGCAGCUGCCCCUAACACCUCAACACAAGAGAACUAGGCAGGGGCCAGGUGCGGUGGCUCACGCCUGUAAUCCCAACACUUUCGGAGGCUGAGGCAGGUGGAUCACCUGCAGUCAGGAGUUGGAGACCAGCCUGGCCAAUAUGGCAAAACCCCGCCUCUACUAAAAAUACAAAAAUUAGCUGGGCGUGGUGAUACACGCCUGUAAUCCCAGCUACUUGGGAGGCUGAGGCAGGAGAAUCACUUGAACCCAGAAGGCGGAGGUUGCAGUGAGCCAACAUCGUG
rnacentral:lncRNA from 1 species